CCUCACGGCUCGGUGUCAGAAGCGGCGGCGGUGGCUGCAGCUCCGACACCUUCGCACUCACUGAGCCAGUCUCAGUGCAAAGGCUGCUGCCUGCUGCUGGACUAACACUGACGGCCCCUCCUCGCCGCCGCCGCCGCGCAGCCGAGUGGCUCAGCGGAGAAGGCCCGCCCCACGCUGAGCUGCCCUCUCAUUGAGCCAAGGAAGCAUCAAUCACGCCGGCAGCCUGCCAAGCCUCUCCUCCUCCCUCUCCCUUCCCUCCACUCGCUCAAUGAGCCGCCGCCGCGUGCAGGGUAAACAAGGUAAAAUAUCCUUCCGCAGCGCAAGCAAGCUGUGUGUGUGAAAUAGAGGCUUUGUGAGUGAGGCAGCAGUUUCUCUCUCUCCCUCCCUCUCCCCCUCCCGAGCGGAUGCCACUGCCGCUCGUUAAUGGCGUUUCAUUGACCUCGAGUUGUUUCCGUUUGGUUCUCUCUGGAUGGAGGGUUGCUGCCUUGCCGCCGCCUUCUGUUUUAAUUGAGUGACUCCAGCUAAGCAUUUGGCCUUCUUUGUGAAUUAAACUGCUUAGUCAGCCGUCUUUAACUCACUUUUAUAUUUGCAUCCUGGCUUGCCCAAGAGAGGAGCAGAAGCAUACGCGUGGUUCUCGCCUUUAUACUAGUUUAGCCUCCCGCACCGGGAGCUCCAUGGCGCCCUGCCUGACUGGCCUGAUAGCUUUGGCUUACAUUAUCUGACUGAACCGAAUAAAACUUGGCAAUUGCUGUAAAAUGCAAGAGCAGUCGAUUUGAAGCCCUGAUGAAGAAGGCCUUCCCUGUUGUAAAGGGAAUCUUCAACUACCAUUAUUACAGUUUAGGUAAGGAUGAAAAAUGUUUGUCCCUGCAUAUGCUGCUCUUUGAAGAAUCCGUUGCUUCCCUGCAAAAUGAUGCAAAGGAAAGAGCAGGUGGCCU
rnacentral:lncRNA from 1 species